rnacentral:rRNA from 1 species
UACGAAGGGGGCUAGGCGUUGCUCGGAAUCACUGGGCGUAAAGGGUGCGUAGGCGGAUUGUUAAGUCAGGGGUGAAAUCCUGGAGCUCAACUCCAGAACUGCCUUUGAUACUGGCGAUCUUGAGUCCGGGAGAGGUGAGUGGAACUGCGAGUGUAGAGGUGAAAUUCGUAGAUAUUCGGAAGAACACCAGUGGCGAAGGCGACUUACUGGACACAUAUUGACGCUGAGGUGCGAAAGCGUGGGGAGCAAACAGGG